UAAUGUAUAUUAUACAUAAUAAAUAAUGUAUAUUAUACAUAUUAUUCUUUAAGAAGAGCUAGUUGCAGUAAAGGCAUCACUUUCAGCGAGGAUAAGUCUGCUAACACAGCCUAAAAAUAAAAAAAUCCGAGAACGAGCGACCAGAGACGACCACGCAAUGCUCGAGGAGAUCCCCUUUUAAGGAAUUCUUGAGCGAUUGGAGCAUGAUUUGAGCUCAAUACUUUUUCUCCAAUGUACGUUCGCUCGGCUUCUAAAUUUGGGAAGUUUUCUGUAGUCGGCAUAUCGGAAUUUACUCCAAGUAAUGGCAUUCCCUGCGCUAAUCCCGAAUACAUACGUCUCUGUAGAAAAAGGACGAUAGAUAUAUUUGUACAAGUACAUAAAUUAUAAAAUUAAUUAAUUAUAAUAUUCGUACCAAUUGCGCGAGUGUUUUUACACUAAUCUGUAUGUGACUGAAAUCCCAAUUUAGCUCGUCUCUAAAAUAUGUUUUUAUAUCAAGACUUGAUGACAAAUAUAUUUUUGUUUUCUAAUAUAGAUAAUUUAUAUAUAAUUACAUACGGUUGCUUUUUAAAAGAAGGAUCACGUAUCGAGAACAACACAUCCAAAAAAUCCUUUGGCGCAUACAAUGGGCGAUAUUGUGAUAAAUCUGAAAAUAAUAAUUUCUUCUCUCUAUAAAACAGACAUUAACUCAUAUCUGAUAUAUAAAGUAAUUUCACAAAAAGGAUUUAUAUUUGAUUUCAACUUUGAAAUAAAAUUUACCAAUGUCA